AUUGAACGCUGGCGGCAGGCCUAACACAUGCAAGUCGAGCGGAUGAGUGGAGCUUGCUCCAUGAUUCAGCGGCGGACGGGUGAGUAAUGCCUAGGAAUCUGCCUGGUAGUGGGGGACAACGUUUCGAAAGGGACGCUAAUACCGCAUACGUCCUACGGGAGAAAGUGGGGGAUCUUCGGACCUCACGCUAUCAGCUGAGCCUAGGUCGGAUUAGCUAGUUGGUGAGGUAAAGGCUCACCAAGGCGACGAUCCGUAACUGGUCUGAGAGGAUGAUCAGUCACACUGGAACUGAGACACGGUCCAGACUCCUACGGGGGGCAGCAGUGGGGAAUAUUGGACAAUGGGCGAAAGCCUGAUCCAGCCAUGCCGAGUGUGUGAAGAAGGUCUUCGGAUUGUAAAGCACUUUAAGUUGGGAGGAAGGGCAGUAAGUUAAUACCUUGCUGUUUUGACGUUACCAACAGAAUAAGCACCGGCUAACUUCGUGCCAGCCGCCGCAGUAACAC
rnacentral:rRNA from 1 species